UACGUAGGGGGCAAGCGUUGUCCGGAUUUAUUGGGCGUAAAGAGCGUGUAGGCGGCUAGGUAGGUCCGUUGUGAAAACUCGAGGCUCAACCUCGAGACGUCGAUGGAAACCAUCUAGCUAGAGUCCGGAAGAGGAGAGUGGAAUUCCUGGUGUAGCGGUGAAAUGCGCAGAUAUCAGGAAGAACACCGGUGGCGAAGGCGGCGACCUGGUCCUUGACUGACGCUGAGGCGCGAAAGCGUGGGGAGCAAACAGG
rnacentral:rRNA from 1 species